rnacentral:sRNA from 1 species
UGAAAACGUUUUAAAAUAGAGACGUUCUUGAAUUUCGUUUAAAUGGAAAAGGAUUGCCAACUGUCAGACAAAAAUAACAGUUGGAAGGAGAUUAUUCUUUUUCAUUUUAGCGAAAAAAUUUUUAAAAGGAGGAAGAACAAGA